rnacentral:snoRNA from 1 species
AAGACUAUACUUUCAGGGAUCAUUUCUAUAGUUUGUUACAUACCUCCAUCUCCACAAACUGCACACCCCACAAACUAUCUCCACAGU